GUGCUUCUUUUGUUGCUGAAAUUCGGGAAAAGCCAGACCUCAACGACUGGGCACUUUAAAAUGUUCCUGUAUCUGUGACAAAAUUGUAUCGUCACAUAUUUCAUUCGUUUCUUCCCCUACAGGGUGACUGAGCUGAGAGGCAAAGGACCAUGAUUUUGCACCACAAACGUAAUUAAUGCACGUGGGAUAGUCCUAGUCUGCAUAAUCUUGGCAAGACCACAGUUGAUGGGUGUAGUCUACCCUAUUUGGAUUAGCAAAUCCUGCUAAAUUGUUAACUUGCAGUUGAAGAAUUUGGCUCCAGCCUGAUUAUACUAACAGUUUUUAAGAGACACUUAUCAACGGAAGGUUUCUUGCAGAUUCUAUGCUUCCCAGGAGACAUGGAUGAUGUCAUAAGCUAUCAGACAGAUCGCCUUUUCUACAUCAUCCACUAAGUCAUGACUUAACAAAUUCAGACCUGCAAUUGUCCUAGAUGCACCCAGCUAUAUCCCUAGCACUAUUAAUUUUUAGGGAUGAAGCUUGUGAACUUGCAUCAUACUUGAGAAACUGGAGACCAUCUGCAGAGAAUGCCUCAACUUCAGAAGAUCAUUUCUGUGAUCACUUGCUCUUGCAUCUUUCUUGUUUCAAUGGAAGAGAACUCCUAUCAGAAAGAACUCCACCCCUUGUACUCUGGAUCUCAUCCUUCUCUCCUGCUCAAGGACUUGAUUCUUCAAUCAAUGCUUGUGAAGUUUCUUAGAUCUUUUUUUUUUUUUUUUAAAGUUUUAAGUAUGUUCCAUGCCCAACAUAGCACUUGAACUCAUUCAUGACCCCGAGAUCAAGGGUGACAUGCUCUACUGCCCGUGAAAUUUCUUAAUUGAAAAAAAAAAAGACUUAAUAUUUUAUUUUGCUAUAUUCAUACAAAUAAAAUUUUUAAAAAAUUACCUUUUAUGUUGAAACAGAUAUUAGGGUUUUUUUUUUAAACAAUUUAAAAUGUUGCAGUAUUGAUACCUAAAACCUUGGGAGACAGUGGAAAGAUAAUCUUAUGUGAAGCCACAGCUUAAAAAAAUAAAUCAGUGCAAUGACUUUGUCAGAAAACUGUUCUGAAACUUUUUUCCCCCCAUAAAUCACUUGGAUAACUGCCUUCAUUUUCCUUUUUGAAGUUUUAAG
rnacentral:lncRNA from 1 species